rnacentral:rRNA from 1 species
UACGUAGGUGGCGAGCGUUAUCCGGAUUUAUUGGGCGUAAAGCGUGCGCAGGCGGUUUAUUAAGUCUAAGAUUAAAGCCCGGAGCUUAACUCCGGUUCGUCUUAGAAACUGGUAGACUUGAGUAUGGUAGAGGCAAAUGGAAUUCCUAGUGUAGCGGUGGAAUGCGUAGAUAUUAGGAGGAACACCAGUGGCGAAGGCGAUUUGCUGGGCCAUUACUGACGCUCAUGCACGAAAGCGUGGGGAGCAAAUAGG